rnacentral:rRNA from 1 species
CCUACGGGGUGCAGCAGUCGAGAAUCAUUCACAAUGGGGGAAACCCUGAUGGUGCGACGCCGCGUGGGGGAAUGAAGGUCUUCGGAUUGUAAACCCCUGUCAUGUGGGAGCAAAUUAAAAAGAUAGUACCACAAGAGGAAGAGACGGCUAACUCUGUGCCAGCAGCCGCGGUAAUACAGAGGUCUCAAGCGUUGUUCGGAAUCACUGGGCGUAAAGCGUGCGUAGGCUGUUUCGUAAGUCGUGUGUGAAAGGCGCGGGCUCAACCCGCGGACGGCACAUGAUACUGCGAGACUAGAGUAAUGGAGGGGGAGCCGGAAUUCUCGGUGUAGCAGUGAAAUGCGUAGAUAUCGAGAGGAACACUCGUGGCGAAGGCGGGUUGCUGGACAUUAACUGACGCUGAGGCACGAAGGCCAGGGGAGCGAAAGGGAUUAGAUACCCUAGUAGUC